rnacentral:rRNA from 1 species
UGGGAAUUUUGGACAAUGGGCGCAAGCCUGAUCCAGCCAUGCCGCGUGCGGGAAGAAGGCCUUCGGGUUGUAAACCGCUUUUGUCAGGGAAGAAAUCUUCUGAGUUAAUACCUCGGGAGGAUGACGGUACCUGAAGAAUAAGCACCGGCUAACUACGUGCCAGCAGCCGCGGUAAUACGUAGGGUGCAAGCGUUAAUCGGAAUUACUGGGCGUAAAGCGUGCGCAGGCGGUUUAGUAAGACAGAGGUGAAAUCCCCGGGCUCAACCUGGGAACUGCCUUUGUGACUGCAAGGCUUGAGUGCGGCAGAGGGGGAUGGAAUUCCGCGUGUAGCAGUGAAAUGCGUAGAUAUGCGGAGGAAACA